GGUGAUUAUACCGGAGGGGUACCACCCGUUCCCAUCUCGAACACGGAAGUUAAGACCUCCAGGGCUGACGAUACCACUAGGGAAAAUAAGUCGUUGCCAGGU
rnacentral:rRNA from 1 species